GGGCAAGUCUGGUGCCAGCAGCCGCGGUAAUUCCAGCUCUUAGAGUGUAUAUGAAUGUUGUUGUAGUUAAAACGCUCAUAGCUUAUAAUAAUGGGUCGAGGCGUAAAUACCGACUGCACAUGUAGAAGGUACUGCGUCUGGGGCUCACAGAAAGUCCAGUGAUUUGCAGUCGGGGGUGGAAACACUCUACGGGCUCGGGCGUCGCGAGGCGUUCGAUUUGCUGGAGAGGAUUAACUUUGAACAAAUUAGAGUGUUUAAAACAAGCGUCACAGCUUUGAAUAUAUUAGCAUAGUAUUACAGAAUAUGAUGGAUUCGUUUCGAAAGUUUUGUGGCGUGCCGUUAAACGUACGUCAUGGAGCGGGUCAUUUAAUGAGAGAUAGAAAUUGAUGGAGCGAUCUUUAUUUACUGGGAAGGGGUGAAAUCCUAUGAUCCAGUGAAGAAACACUAAUGCAGAACGAAAGUUGAGGGCGCGAAGAUGAUUAGAUACCAUCGUAGUCUCAACCGUAAACAAUGUUGAUUUAGGAUGUGAAAUCAUUUUUUAUGACUUUUCACGAAUUAUACGAGAAAUCUAGAAUAUUCGAACUCUAGGGGUAGUAUAGUCGCAAGGCCGAAACUUAAAAGAAUUGACGGAAGAGCACCACCAGGCGUGGAACCUGCGGCUUAAUUUGACCCAACGCGGGAAAACUUACCAGGACAGGACAUUAAAAGGAUUGACAGAUUGAUAGCUUUUUCAUGAUAUAAUGAAAGGUGGUGCAUGGCCGUUUUUAGUUGGUGGUUUGAAUUGUCUGGUUAAUUCCGAUAACGUAACAAGACCUUUUCCUGCUAUUUAGCUUGUUUGUGAAACAAUUAAAAGGAAGAAAGACAAUAACAGGUCUGUGAUGCCCUUAGAUGCCCUGGGCUGCACGCGCGUUACAAUGAGAUUAUCACAUAGUGAUGACCAUAUUAGAGAUGACUCAGGAAAUCUCAGAAACAGUCUCGUGAUGGGGAUUGUGUUUUGCAAUUAUCGCACAUGAACGAGGAAUGCCUUGUAAGGGUGUAUCAUUAAUGCACCCUGAAUCAGUCCCUGCUCUUUGUACACACCGCCCGUCGCUCCUACUGAUUGAAUUUUGUGAUAAGGACCUUGUACUGUGGACGUUU
rnacentral:rRNA from 1 species